CUGAUUUGCAGGAAGUAGAGAUGACUGGAAGAAUUCCUGAUAUGCAGAUUGCCCCUGCAUGAAUACAUGUUUUUCCUCAGAUAAGCGUUUCUGUACCCGAAUGUACCACGAGACUGAAUUCAAGUAUUCGUGUGGUUAAAACGAACCAUUCUAAACAAAAAGUACCUGAAAUUGAGUUGUGGAGUAGCCCUGCGAAAAAUCCGGUACUACACUCUCUAGUGAGUGCAGGGAAAAAGGGUAAUAGAAAUGGCAACUUACAUUAGUGCAGUUGAAGAUGGGAGAGCUAGCUGUAUCAUCAAGCAUUGAAGCCUUUUCCUUGAGAGCCAACGGCCCCCGUUGGGGCGUGGAAACACCACCCGUGGCUGUCAUUGCCGUAGUCUUCUUCGGCCACGACUUGUGGAGGUCCA